rnacentral:lncRNA from 10 species
GGAAAGAGAGAGACCGGCAGGAGGAGUCCUCGUCAUGACCCAGUCCCUCGCUGUUAUCCUAAAAAGCCCUAUCUUUUGGAGCAGGAAGAGUCCUGGGAAGUCUUCUGGUUCAACCCCAGAGAAAGGUCAUGUCUUCCCCAAAGCGGCGAAUUUUUGUUGCUGAAGUAGAACGGCAAAUAAAGCCCAGAUCUCCAGAUCCCAGCCUACCUUUGUUUCCUCUAUACUAGGCUUCUUUUAAUAUUAACAUUUCUGUGAAUUGCCAUUUAAUUUGAUCAACUCACAAUUACCCAAGCUCAAUUCCAAUGUCCUUUGUUUUAUUUUUAAUUUUUUAUUUAUUUAUCUGUUUAUUUAUUUUUGAGAAAGGUCUCCCUUUGUUGCCCAGGCUGGAAUACAGUGGCACAAUCACAGCUCACUGCAGCCUCUACCUCCUGAGAUCUGGCGACCGUCCGGCUUCAGCCUCCUGAGUAGCUGGGACUACAGGUGCACACCACCGCACCCAGUUAUUAAAUACAUUUUGUUGUUGUUUUGGUACAGAUGGGCGUCUCACCAAACUCCUGGGCUCAAGUGAUCCUCCUGCCUCGACCUCCCAAAGUGCUGGGACUACAGGAGUGAGUUAACGCUCCCAGCAACCCGGCUAAUAUUUUCUAGAGAUGGGCACUCACUAUGUUGGCCCAGGUUGGUCUCAAACUCCUGGGCUCAAGCGAUCUCCAGACCUCAGCCUCCCAAAGGGAUAACAGGUGACCAACCCGGCCCUCCAAUUUCCUUUGACUUCACCAUUCCUCAGGCUUUGACCACAACCACCCAUCUCUCACCUCUGCCAUGACCUCGCCUUUCUUGUCUCAAGACCUAGGACCCCUUUUGGUUUUAUCAGACUCCUUACCCAGCCUAAACUACUCAAUUCUGUCCCCUUACCUACCUACCUACCUACAGGUCAGUUCCCAAACCAAUGAUCGUUGCUCCAUUUCCCCCACCUCUUUUUUUCACUCCUGGGCUCUGGAGUAUUGCUGGAAGAAAAAUAACCAGAACAUGUUUGCCAAGCCCUAGAUUCCCUGACUAGCCUCACUACCGGGCUCUAAGGGCAGCUCUGUGAUCCUUUGUCUUUUAUUGACUCCGUCACCCUCAAGAUAACUAUUCAAACUUUUCCACAUUCAUCAAGGCACUCCACCUGUCCCCAUGUCUCUGCUCUCUGCAGAACGCCUUUCAUUCCUGCUUUAUGAGAUUGAGGCCAUGCAUGUGAACCCUUUAAGUUUUCC